rnacentral:lncRNA from 1 species
UUUUAAGUUGUUGCUAAAAUAUAGACCUGAGGACAAGGUUGCUAAGAAGGAAAGGCUUCUUAAAAGAGCACAAGCUGCUGAAGAGGGGAGGACUGUGGAAUCAAAGAAGCCUAUUGUCGUUAAAUAUGGUCUUAACCAUGUAACUUAACUCAUUGAGCAGGUACGAAUGUUGGUCCUGCCUAACGAGUUGAACCUCUAGUACUUGAGGGUUGAGGCUUCACCUGGGCCGGGUUUGCAAUUAAAUCAAAUGAGGUGUCCCAGUUCGAGUCAACUCAUAAUUUUAUCCUUCUAUUUUAUUUUUUUUUGGAACACCAUCCUUUCAACUUUUUUUAUAUUGGGGAUUUCAUGUUGUCAUCUGACUUGGAUUGUGACAACAUGCACGGCAGAUUUGAUGCAUUAAUUUCUAAGGUUAUCUUAUAUUUUUCCUAAGACUCUACUUGUUGCAUGUAGAACAAGGCCUAGUUGGUGGUUAUCGCACAUGAUGUGGAUCCAAUUGAGCUUGUUGUCUGGUUGCCAGCAUUGUGCCGGAAAAUGGAAGUUCCUUGUGCAAUUGUGAAGGGCAAGUUUUUUCUAGGGGUGUUUAUUUUCAGUUUGGUUUGGUUUUUAUUAAAAAAAGUAACCAAACCGAAUUUUUUUUAAAAAAAACCAAACCGAAACCGGUUCAAACCGACCGGUUUCGGUUCGGUUCUGUUUUUUAGAACAAAAACCGGUUCAAACCGGUUUGGCUCGGUUUUUUCGGUUUGGCUAGGUUUUUUUCCGGUUUUUUUCUGUUCGGGUUCGUUCGGUUUUUUCGGUUCCAGGCUUAAAAACCGAACCGGUCGGUUUUUUAAAAUUUUAAUCGGUUUAAUCGGUUUUUUUCAAGGUUCGGUUUUUUCAAUUUUUUUUUCCGGUUUUCUCAGUUUAAUCAGUUUUUUGGUUUUUUUAAAUACCCCUAAUUUUUUCUAAUCUCUUCCAAUGUGUUAAAAGAUUGUGAAGGGCAACUCCAAACGGAUUCAUCAUUGGCUUCAAAAUUUAUAGUUGUAUCUCCGAGAUAGUUGUAACAAUUUACUUCACAAAUUUAACUAAUUUUUCGAUAAAUAAUUCAGUUACUACUCAAUUAAAUUUAAUCAAUUUAAAAUCUUAAUGAUUCAUGGUAGAAGUUGAGCACAGAGAAAUUUUGUAAAUUAAAUAAAAAUAGUUUUUUUAUUGUAAAAUUAUCUAUAUUUCCACUAUUCUAGAUAUAAUUCUGUAAGAGAUUCUUGACUUCCGAUUUUUCCUUUUUCAAUAAAUUUUUUUAAUAAUAUUUAGUUUCUGAAAAAAAUAAUUUUAUUCGUAUAAAAUGAACUAUAUAUAAACAAUAUUUUUCCGCUACACAUAAUAAAUAAAUUAAGAAGAGUUUGGGCAUAAUAAAUGAAACAAGUAGAAACUAGGACUAGACUUUGACGAGUAAACAACAAAGAUGACCAAAUUGAAAACAAAAAUAUUUUAGGGUUUGGGAGGCCUGUGGGCUUACCACCCUCUUCAGUCCACAUAACAGAAUGAAUUAUAAAAUAAAACCCUAAUUAUAAAAUCAGCCGCUUCAGCUGCGCUUCUAAGCUGUCACACUUCCUUCACAAACACAUCUAUCAGCGUUUCUUUCGAUCUCCUCUUCCACAUGGUGCGACAUUCACUUAAGUUCAUGCAUCCCCAUUUCAUAUUUUCAUCCAUGUAAUGUUUCUUGUGCUGUCUGGUUUCAUUUGUUUGGUAUGAAGUUGCUUUGUUUAUGAUGGGUUUGUUGAUUUCUGAGUGAAUGGAGACUCUAUCAGUUAGCCUCUCCAUUUGGGAUUGUUAUUUUAAGUGACCCCAGAUAGGUUUGCUGAAGUGAUGGAACUUUAGUGCUUUUGUUUGUCUAUUGAAUUGAAGUUUCAAUAUGACUGUAGAUGUUGGAUUCUUUAUGGUGAAUAUGAUAUGGCUUAGAAAUUGGGGAAUGAUCAGUUUUUUUAUGACAAUCCAGCAAUUGAUAGUUUCCCCGGAAAAGCAAUGAGUAUAUGCUUAAAGCUAUAUUAAAAGUGGGGCAGUAGAAGUUUCAAGAUGGACUGAGAAAAUGCAGUGUACUGGUUAGAAGUUUAGCUGGAAGCACUCGCUCACUAUUUUCGUUAUUUAGCUGCAUUUGUAUAUGUUUGUUUGAAUUAGUACUGUUAUUGUCACUUGUAUUUUGAAAUGUUGUGUCUAUUAAAUUUUCAUUGGAAAGUUUAUUUUUCAAUUUUUGAAUCAUUAGCUUGUUUGUGUAAUUUAUGACAGGCUCCCAAAAGAGGCGUGAAGGCCCCACUAGCAGCAAAGAAAAAACCUGUAUGCCUUUCUCUCUCUUUCUCUCUCUAUUGUAUGCACACAAACGCACAAAUAAGCAUUUGUUAGUGAAACAUUCAUUUCUUGAAAAUGCAAAUGGUUAUAGAUUAUGCCCAGUUCGUAGAACUUGCAUGUGAUGGAUUGUAAUUCUCUCCAAUGCACCAUGUCAAAAUUGGGCUUUGUGUGCUCUCCUCUUGCAACUAAAGGUGUUGUGCAUUUAUGUUGAUUAAUUACAGGAAAAGGUCGUAAAUCCUCUGUUUGAGAAGCGACCAAAGCAGUUUGGAAUUGGUGGUGCCCUUCCACCCAAGAAGGAUUUGACUAGAUUUGUCAAGUGGCCACAUGUUGUUCGUAUUCAGAGGCAAAGAAGGAUUCUGAAACAGCGUUUGAAGGUUCCUCCUGCUGUUAACCAGUUCACAAAAACACUUGACAAGAACCUUGGUAAGUUUCUCAUCCCUGUUCUAGAAAAACUGCAGAUGAUUUGUCUCAUGUUAAUUUGUGGUUUUAUUUUCUUCAUUUUGUAUUACAGCCACACAGCUUUUUAAGUUGUUGCUAAAAUAUAGACCUGAGGACAAGGCUGCUAAGAAGGAAAGGCUUCUUAAAAGAGCACAAGCUGCAGAAGAGGGGAAGACUGUGGAAUCAAAGAAGCCUAUUGUCGUUAAAUAUGGUCUUAACCAUGUAACUUACCUCAUUGAGCAGGUACGAAUGUUGGUUUCUAUGGCAUACUAUGUUAAAUAAUUAGGUAGCAAUAUUAGUUUGGAUGAUCUGGUACUUUGUUUAGGUAGCUUGAUUGAUCUAUAUAGGAAGAGUUCACUCAUAAAUGAGCUAUAACCAUAAUUAUCAAAACUGGCCCUGCCUAGCGAGUUGAUCCACUAGUACUCGAGGGUAGAGGCUUCACCUAGGCCAGGUUUGCAAUUAAACCAAAUGAGGAGUCCCAGUCCAUUGGUCGAGUCAACUCAUAAUUUGUAAGAA